GUUUUUAUAGUGUAAAAAACAUAUAAUUUUUUCAAAAUUAAGAUAGCAGGACCUUAAAAACA
rnacentral:tRNA from 2 species